UGCCCGAAGGGUGACGAAGCGACGCCGCGUGGGUGAGGAAGGCCUUCGGGUUGUAAAGCCCUGUCAGGAGUUAAGAAAUGUAGACUCGCUAAUAUCGGGUCUAUUUGACAAAGGCUCCAAAGGAAGCCACGGCUAACUCUGUGCCAGCAGCCGCGGUAAUACAGAGGUGGCAAGCGUUGUUCGGAAUUAUUGGGCGUAAAGAGCACGUAGGUGGAUUUGUAAGUCAGACGUGAAAGCCUUCUGUUCAACGGAAGAAUUGCAUCUGAAACUACAAACCUUGAGUGUAGGAGGGGAGAAUGGAACUUCUGGUGGAGCGGUGAAAUGCGUAGAUAUCAGAAGGAACGCCGGCGGCGAAAGCGAUUCUCUGGCCUAUUACUGACACUCAGUGUGCGAAAGCUAGGGGAGCAAACGGGAUUAGAUACCCCGGUAGUCCUAGCCGUAAACGAUGGGCACUAAGUAGAGGGGU
rnacentral:rRNA from 1 species